rnacentral:rRNA from 1 species
AUUGAACGCUGGCGGCAGGCCUAACACAUGCAAGUCGAACGAGUGGCGGACGGGUGAGUAAUGUCUGUGAAACUGCCCGAUGGAGGGGGUUAACUACUGGAACCGGUAGCUAAUACCGCAUACCCUCGGAUGUGCCCAGAUGGGAUUAGCUAGUAGUUGGGGUAACGGCUCACCUAGGCGACGAUCCCUAGCUGGUCUGCGAGGAUGACCAGCAACACUGGAACUGAGACACGGUACAGACGCCUACGGGAGGCAGGAGUGGGGAAUAUUGCACAAUGGGCGCAAGCCGGAUGCAGCCAUGCCGGGUGUGUGAAGAAGGCCGUCGGGUUGUAAAGGACUUUCAGCGAGGAGGCGUUACUCGCAGAAGAAGCACCGGCUAACUCCGUGCCAGCAGCCGCGGUAAUAC